rnacentral:rRNA from 1 species
AAGCGUAGCUAAUACCGCAUACGCCCUACGGGGGAAAGCAGGGGAUCGCAAGACCUUGCACUAUUGGAGCGGCCGAUAUCGGAUUAGCUAGUUGGUGGGGUAACGGCUCACCAAGGCGACGAUCCGUAGCUGGUUUGAGAGGACGACCAGCCACACUGGGACUGAGACACGGCCCAGACUCCUACGGGAGGCAGCAGUGGGGAAUUUUGGACAAUGGGGGAAACCCUGAUCCAGCCAUCCCGCGUGUGCGAUGAAGGCCUUCGGGUUGUAAAGCACUUUUGGCAGGAAAGAAACGUCAUGGGCUAAUACCCCGUGAAACUGACGGUACCUGCAGAAUAAGCACCGGCUAACUACGUGCCAGCAGCCGCGGUAAUACGUAGGGUGCAAGCGUUAAUCGGAAUUACUGGGCGUAAAGCGUGCGCAGGCGGUUCGGAAAGAAAGAUGUGAAAUCCCAGAGCUUAACUUUGGAACUGCAUUUUUAACUACCGAGCUAGAGUGUGUCAGAGGGAGGUGGAAUUCCGCGUGUAGCAGUGAAAUGCGUAGAUAUGCGGAGGAACACCGAUGGCGAAGGCAGCCUCCUGGGAUAACACUGACGCUCAUGCACGAAAGCGUGGGGAGCAAACAGGAUUAGAUAUCCUGGUAGUCCACGCCCUAAACGAUGUCAACUAGCUGUUGGGGCCUUCGGGCCUUGGUA